UUAUUCCUCCCGCGUGCCCUAGCCUUUCCCUUCGCUCGGCGAUUUCUCCUCUUUGCCCUAACCGGCGCUGCCGCAGCAGUUCAUCUUCUCCCCAGCCGAUUCCUUUUCUUCUCCUACCUCUGAGCAGCGUCGGCUGCCUCCACCAGUGUGUCUGCCGAAGCCGCUGUCGCCAUUGGAUUGCCGGCCACCAGGUUCGACUCACCACCGAUUGCAGCCUAAAUUCCCUCUACCGCCGGCGACGAGAGCCACCGGCGACCCCCUAUCGCCCUAGCCGUGGAGAUAGCGAGCACUGGCCGCCGACUCUCGACCCGAGCAGCACCGCCGCCUCACGAGACAUCGCCGCCAUUCUCCCUUCUGCCCUUUGUGCUACUAGAGCCGACCCUCACCGAAGGACCUCACUGUGCCUUAGUCCCGAACCCGCAGCCGGCCAAUUUCUCCUCUGUUCUAGCAUCGACGAUUGUACCUCCUUCCCUCUCUUGGCGGACAACUAGAGUCACCGGAAAACGAGAGCUCAAGAAGGAGACUGAGGGUAACAGUAGUCCGGCAGUCACUCUUUUCAGCACCAGCACGAUUGUGAGAUUGAAGGGUCCUGAUCUUUAGCAGCCGACAUUUCCUUAUUUCAGCAUUUACUCUGUGAUUUUUCAGCAACAAGAACGGUUGUGGAACUUGAGGUCUUUGACGCGAGGCGAGAAUCUCGAUUAUCAGAUUGGACCAUUUCUUAUUGGAGGCGGGU